AGGCUAGUAGCUCCAAUGGUAGAGCAUCGGAUUCCAAAUCCGAGUGCUGGGGGUUCGAAUCCCUCCUGGCCUGCCA
rnacentral:tRNA from 5 species